rnacentral:lncRNA from 1 species
AUGGCUUGACGAGGCCGCAACACUCGUAACAGUAGCACCCAUUACCGUAAUAUUUUCAUUAAUUUGGUUUUCAUUCGUCAUGUUUCUGUAGAGUUGGAAACAAAAUAGAACUUUGUCAAAUCAGUGAAGUUUUGAUAUCUUCAAACUGAAUACUAAACCAAACAGACAACACAUAACAAUGGUGAAGUUUUUAUAUAUUUCAAACCCGUACGUUUAUUAUUCUGGAAAAGUUUUUAUAUACUUUAAACCGGACAGAACAAUUACUGGAGUAGAAAGCACCAAAGCUGUAAUCUCUAACGCAGUAUAGACAACAGUUUGGUAUAUAAUUCAACACAGAAACAAUUUAAUGAAAUUCCUUAAGCUUGUGAGUGUUACUGUGUUAAAACACAAAAUCAGAAAACUAUUAGAAGAAUAAAGAAAAACUAGAAAAACAAAAAAGAAUAAGAAAUAUUUCGAGUCCACAAUUUGCUUGUGCGUCUAAGGAAUUUUAACUCCCUCACACGUUGCCAAGUAAUAGAUUAAAUCCUCCUAGAUGAAACAGAAUAAACCUUCACACAACAGUGGCAAUACAAACUGCAGGAUACCAACGAACUCAAAGAACAGAGCAAAAUCGCACUUACGAAUUUGAGAGAGAGACUGCGAAUUGGAAUGGAGUAUUUCAGAAAGAAGGAAGUUUUGAAGUGCUUUUCGAUUUUUGAAAAUGGAGCCAUGCCUCAUAAUUUAUAGGCAAUUAUCAGAGGUGUCUGGUUACGUAAGGACCACGGUCAGAAUGGCUCUCUGAAUCUGCAGCAGGGUUCUGGUGCGAUUACGCUAGGACCACGGCUAGACAAAAUUCAUCGUAUGUUUCUACUCUGAGCUCCAACUUUAGGCCUGGGUUUGAAAAGAUAUAUACUACUAGUAGAUAGGAA